AUGGAACUGGGUGUUAAGCAAUUUUGGUUGGAGCUUGAAGGCUGCAUAUAUUCAAGAAGUUGGAAAGACGUUUGGAGACUUAAGGAUUCUGCUAUGAGGUUAGUAUGAUCACUGACUAAUUUAAUGGAGUCAGCGUAUUCCUUGCGAUUGCUCUAUGUCUGUAUUGCAAUUACCAUGACCAUUUUAACUCAAAUAAUGUUAAGUUUUUGACACUGCAAUCUUUUUACUAUCACACCACCAUCGUGUCUAACUUCAUUAGUUCUGGUAUAUCAUAGAUUUUGAUUUAUUGACUUGAAAUAUCACCUGAAAUCUUAGUCCUACGUUGUUAAUGAAAUUUGGUUAUA
rnacentral:lncRNA from 1 species